rnacentral:rRNA from 1 species
CAGUAGCCACGGUAAAACGUAGGGUGCGAGCGUUAAUCGGAAUUACUGGGCGUAAAGCGGGCGCAGACGGUUACUUAAGCAGGAUGUGAAAUCCCCGGGCUCAACCUGGGAACUGCGUUCUGAACUGGGUGACUAGAGUGUGUCAGAGGGAGGUAGAAUUCCACGUGUAGCAGUGAAAUGCGUAGAGAUGUGGAGGAAUACCGAUGGCGAAGGCAGCCUCCUGGGAUAACACUGACGUUCAUGCCCGAAAGCGUGGGUAGCAAACAGGAUUAGAUACCCCCGUAGUCCCUGUCUCUUAUAC